GCGGACGGGUGAGUAAUGCCUAGGAAUCUGCCUGGUAGUGGGGGACAACGUUUCGAAAGGAACGCUAAUACCGCAUACGUCCUACGGGAGAAAGCAGGGGACCUUCGGGCCUUGCGCUAUCAGAUGAGCCUAGGUCGGAUUAGCUAGUUGGUGAGGUAAUGGCUCACCAAGGCGACGAUCCGUAACUGGUCUGAGAGGAUGAUCAGUCACACUGGAACUGAGACACGGUCCAGACUCCUACGGGAGGCAGCAGUGGGGAAUAUUGGACAAUGGGCGAAAGCCUGAUCCAGCCAUGCCGCGUGUGUGAAGAAGGUCUUCGGAUUGUAAAGCACUUUAAGUUGGGAGGAAGGGUUGUAGAUUAAUACUCUGCAAUUUUGACGUUACCGACAGAAUAAGCACCGGCUAACUCUGUGCCAGCAGCCGCGGUAAUACAGAGGGUGCAAGCGUUAAUCGGAAUUACUGGGCGUAAAGCGCGCGUAGGUGGUUUGUUAAGUUGGAUGUGAAAGCCCCGGGCUCAACCUGGGAACUGCAUUCAAAACUGACAAGCUAGAGUAUGGUAGAGGGUGGUGGAAUUUCCUGUGUAGCGGUGAAAUGCGUAGAUAUAGGAAGGAACACCAGUGGCGAAGGCGACCACCUGGACUG
rnacentral:rRNA from 1 species